UCAGGCCUAACACAUGCAAGUCGAACGAUGAAGCUGGAGCUUGCUCCGGUGGAUUAGUGGCGACCGGGUGAGUAACGCGUGUGCAAUCUGCCCUUGACUAUGGGAUAAGUGCGGGAAAUUGUAGCUAAUACCGGAUAUUGUACCUGGGGGCAUCCCUGGGUACUGAAAGAAUUUUGGUCAAGGAUGAGCUCGCGGCUUAUCAGCUUGUUGGUGAGGUAAUGGCUCACCAAGGGGACGACGGGUAGCCGGCCUGAGAGGGUGACCGGCCUCAUCUGGAUUCUGAGACACGGUCCAGACUCCUACGGGAGGCAGCAGUGGGGAAUAUUG
rnacentral:rRNA from 1 species